CUGCAACCUCCACCUCCCAGGUUCAAGAAGUUUCCCUACCUUAGGCUCCUGAGUAGCUGGGACUACAGGAUUACAGUUUAAAGACAAUUUCUGUGAUCAAGUUGUCAUUUGGAAGAUUAAACCCAUUUCACGAGGACUUGGAGCCUGGUCCUUGCUUUGAGGAAGCAGUGGCUUGUUUCAAGAAGCCACUUCUGAUCUAAGAAUCUACCCAGCAUGCCUAAUCAAGGAGAAGACUGCUAUUUUUUUUUCUAUUCCACAUGUACCAAAGGCGACAGCUGCGCAUUCCGUCACUGUGAAGCUGCACUAGGAAAUGAAACUGUUUGCACAUUAUGGCAAGAAGGGCGCUGUUUUCGACAGGUGUGCAGGUUUCGGCACAUGGAGAUUGAUAAAAAACGCAGUGAAAUUCCUUGUUAUUGGGAAAAUCAGCCAACAGGAUGUCAAAAAUUAAACUGCGCUUUCCAUCACAAUAGAGGACGAUAUGUUGAUGGCCUUUUCCUACCUCCGAGCAAAACUGUGUUGCCCACUGUGCCUGAGUCACCAGAAGAGGAAGUGAAGGCUAGCCAACUUUCAGUUCAGCAGAACAAAUUGUCUGUCCAGUCCAAUCCUUCCCCUCAGCUGCGGAGCGUUAUGAAAGUAGAAAGUUCCGAAAAUGUUCCUAGCCCCACGCAUCCACCAGUUGUAAUUAAUGCUGCAGAUGAUGAUGAAGAUGAUGAUGAUCAGUUUUCUGAGGAAGGUGAUGAAACCAAAACACCUACCCUGCAACCAACUCCUGAAGUUCACAAUGGAUUACGAGUGACUUCUGUCCGGAAACCUGCAGUCAAUAUAAAGCAAGGUGAAUGUUUGAAUUUUGGAAUAAAAACUCUUGAGGAAAUUAAGUCAAAGAAAAUGAAGGAAAAAUCUAAGAAGCAAGGUGAGGGUUCUUCAGGAGUUUCCAGUCUUUUACUCCACCCUGAGCCCGUUCCAGGUCCUGAAAAAGAAAAUGUCAGGACUGUGGUGAGGACAGUAACUCUCUCCACCAAACAAGGAGAAGAACCCUUGGUUAGAUUGAGUCUUACUGAGAGACUGGGGAAACGAAAAUUUUCAGCAGGCGGUGACAGUGAUCCUCCAUUAAAGCGUAGCCUGGCACAGAGGCUAGGGAAGAAAGUUGAAGCUCCAGAAACUAACAUUGACAAAACACCAAAGAAAGCUCAAGUUUCCAAGUCUCUUAAGGAGCGAUUAGGCAUGUCAGCUGAUCCAGAUAAUGAGGAUGCAACAGAUAAAGUUAAUAAAGUUGGUGAGAUCCAUGUGAAGACAUUAGAAGAAAUUCUUCUUGAAAGAGCCAGUCAGAAACGUGGAGAAUUGCAAACUAAACUCAAGACAGAAGGACCUUCAAAAACUGAUGAUUCUACUUCAGGAGCAAGAAGCUCCUCCACUAUCCGUAUCAAAACCUUCUCUGAGGUCCUGGCUGAAAAAAAACAUCGGCAGCAGGAAGCAGAGAGACAAAAAAGCAAAAAGGAUACAACUUGCAUCAAGCUAAAGAUUGAUAGUGAAAUUAAAAAAACAGUCGUUUUGCCACCCAUUGUUGCCAGCAGAGGACAAUCAGAGGAGCCUGCAGGUAAAACAAAGUCUAUGCAGGAGGUGCACAUCAAGACGCUGGAAGAAAUUAAACUGGAGAAGGCACUGAGGGUGCAGCAGAGCUCUGAGAGCAGCACCAGCUCCCCGUCUCAACACGAGGCCACUCCAGGGGCAAGGCGGCUGCUGCGAAUCACCAAAAGAACAGGGAUGAAAGAAGAGAAGAACCUUCAGGAAGGAAAUGAAGUUGAUUCUCAGAGCAGUAUUAGAACAGAAGCUAAAGAGGCUUCAGGUGAGACCACAGGAGUUGACAUCACUAAAAUUCAAGUCAAGAGAUGUGAGACCAUGAGAGAGAAGCACAUGCAGAAACAGCAGGAGAGGGAAAAAUCAGUCUUGACACCUCUUCGGGGAGAUGUAGCCUCUUGCAAUACCCAAGUGGCAGAGAAACCAGUGCUCACUGCUGUGCCAGGAAUCACACGGCACCUGACCAAGCGGCUUCCCACAAAGUCAUCCCAGAAGGUGGAGGUAGAAACCUCAGGGAUUGGAGACUCAUUAUUGAAUGUGAAAUGUGCAGCACAGACCUUGGAAAAAAGGGGUAAAGCUAAACCCAAAGUGAACGUGAAGCCAUCUGUGGUUAAAGUUGUGUCAUCCCCCAAAUUGGCCCCAAAACGUAAGGCAGUGGAGAUGCACACUGCUGUCAUUGCCGCUGUAAAGCCACUCAGCUCCAGCAGUGUCCUACAGGAACCCCCAGCCAAAAAGGCAGCUGUGGCUGUUGUCCCGCUUGUCUCUGAGGACAAAUCAGUCACUGUGCCUGAAGCAGAAAAUCCUAGAGACAGUCUUGUGCUGCCUCCAACCCAGUCCUCUUCAGAUUCCUCACCCCCGGAGGUGUCUGGCCCUUCCUCAUCCCAAAUGAGCAUGAAAACUCGCCGACUCAGCUCUGCCUCAACAGGAAAGCCCCCACUCUCUGUGGAGGAUGAUUUUGAGAAACUAAUAUGGGAGAUUUCAGGAGGCAAAUUGGAAGCUGAGAUUGACCUGGAUCCUGGGAAAGAUGAAGAUGACCUUCUGCUUGAGCUAUCAGAAAUGAUUGAUAGCUGAAGGUGGUAGUGAGGACACUUUAAAAAAAAAAUCGCCAAAAAACUGGACUUAGUUUCAUCUAUUGUAACAUUUACCUGAGAUGAUCAUUUCUUUAGUCUAGAAUUUGCCCCAAAUCAGAAGUAUACCUCUGAAUUAUCUGUAUGUGUCCUGGAUUCCUUGGGGUCAGAUUUUUAAAGUUACUUUAUAACCAUUUUGUCCAUUUGAUGCCAUUGUUUAUCAUUUUUUGAGAAAAAAGUUCUGUCAUACCCUUCUCUCCACAAAAAAGAGACUGAGAGGGAGAUCAAGUGAAAGGGUGCAAGCGAACUUAGUGACUCCUUGAGGUGUUUGUCAGUUUUGGCUUUUUUCUUCUUUGUUGUAUUCUUUAUGUAUUGUCUUGAUGUACUUAAUAUUACCUGAGUUUGAAAUGGAUGAAGACAGCUGCUACCAUUAAGGACCAAAUUUUAUGCUACCACUAAACAAAAAUACCCACUCAGUCUGUGUUAAAUUGUAUGUCUUUUUAAAGGUAUUUAAAGAUUCAACUAAGCUUUAAAGAGGGCUGAGCAGCUCAGGAAGCCUGUAAUGUGGGCAUAACUCUUUGGACCUGAUCUUGAUGCUUCUGCUGCUCUGUUAGCCUCUGAAGAGCAAUAUCUAAUUUAUUAUUACUGUAAUUUUUUAAAAGGCUUUAAAGUGCCUCAGGGGUCCCCUGAAACUAAUUUUCUAUUUCUGGGAUUCCCUGGAUUCAUUAUAUGAGAUGGUGACAUGAUUAGAGGAAUUCUUUUUUAGUAUGAAAAUUGUCCCUUUUCUUCUUCAGUACUUGCCUCCUUGCUGGCAUUGAAUUAACACAGGGACAAAAUUUGGUUAAUUUUUUAUUUCUAACUCUCCCAACAAACCCCUGUUGCCCAGUAUUUGUUUGGUGGCCUUUAACCACCUGAGGGAAAAAAUGAGCUUAUUCAAGCUGCCAGUAUUUAUCUAUGGGCUGUAGCAGUACACUGAAUUGUACUGUGCCAGGGAUAUUGAGAUGCUCUGGGGGUGUAUUGUAUACCUGCCAGUUUUCUUCAUUUCUGAAUUGAGUUUUCUUUUCUUGAUGUUGGUUUCCUUCAUAUCACCUCAAGGUUUAGAUUUGUGAAGGAAUAAGCAUGAUGGAAAUAAUAGUCUUGAAAGGAGAUAUGUUGUAUAUAAUCAGGAGGAAGAGGAAGGAAGGACUUACCCAUUUUGAUAUUUUGCUGUAGGUGGCCAGUUUUGUUUCUCAUAGGGAAAUCUGACCCACCUGUCAUGUUGGCUCCUAAGGAACUGCUGUUGUAAGCGGCUCAUCAAGAGUUGAACUUCACGUAGCCUUGUUGGGAAUAUGGAAAAGGAAGAAAGCCACAGGACUGCCCAUUCAGUCUUGGGAAGAUUGGGAUGAUUCUGCACAAGCAAAAAUGACUGAAAUUUAUGUAUAGACACACCUCUACCAAUCCAUCUUCAGCUGACUGAAUGUUGUAUGAUAGCCCUUCUCCAAAGCAGGGGUAGAAUGUUCAGGUUUCACCGUGGAUUUUCUACUUAUUUCGUUUUUGGAAUCAGCUUACAGAUUCCAGGUCCCUUUUGUAUAUAUUCUUUAUUCUUUUGCUUUUUUAAAAAAUAAUUUUGUUUCAUAUUUAAAGCACUUGUAUUAGUCAAUGUUUCGUGUUCCGCAUUAUUUGAACCAUUUGCCCUUACAGAAAGAGAAAUACUUGUUUGUGUUUUAAAUAAAACUGAUGUAGG
rnacentral:sRNA from 1 species